UGGCGAACGGGUGAGUAACACGUGGGUGAUCUGCCCUGCACUCUGGGAUAAGCCUGGGAAACUGGGUCUAAUACCGGAUAGGACCAUGCUUUAGUGUGUGUGGUGGAAAGUUUUUUCGGUGUAGGAUGAGCCCGCGGCCUAUCAGCUUGUUGGUGGGGUAAUGGCCUUACCAAGGCGGCGACGGGUAGCCGGACUGAGAGGUUGGUCGGCCACAUUGGGACUGAGAUACGGCCCAG
rnacentral:rRNA from 1 species